CUUGCUGAAAUCCAAAAAAGAAAGAAAUGAUGAUGAUCAGUUACACUUGCAAAAGGAAAAUAACAAAUUCUGCAGCUGUGGUUGGAUAUGAUAGUUCCUAUUUCCUUAUAUCUUCUUACACAAUAUUCCUUGAGAUACCAAGUACCAUUAUUGGAGGAAUCAAUAACAAUAGAGGUUGAUUGUCAUGGUGAGUGGAUGGAGAAAAAUAAUUGAUUUAUUUGGCAUUGAAAUGAUAGUGAAAUAUUAGAGAUUAUAGCGACGACAGUCAAAGAGAUGUUUUGUAUGAUGAUUUUAUGAACUUAAUCAUCAACUUUUGUGGACUAAAUUGCCAACCAAAAGAUCUUGUCAUCAGUUGCAUGCA